UACGUAGGGGGCUAGCGUUGUCCGGAUUUAUUGGGCGUAAAGAGCGUGUAGGCGGCCACUUAAGUCCUGCGUGAAAUCUUGCGGCUCAACCGCAAGCGGUCGUGGGAAACUGGGUGGCUAGAGUGCGGGAGAGGAGAGUGGAAUUCCUGGUGUAGCGGUGGAAUGCGCAGAUAUCAGGAGGAACACCAAUAGCGAAGGCAGCUCGCUGGGACGUUACUGACACUGAGGUGCGAAAGCGUGGGGAGCGAACAGG
rnacentral:rRNA from 1 species